GGUCAUUAUAGAUGAGUCCAGAGAGAAAACCACACUUGGCAGAGGAUUUGACACCGCGUGGGUAGGUGCGUGUUUUAACUCUGAGAUUUUUUUUCUUUUUUUUUAAUGGAAGUAGAGAAGAUUUGUCUGGAACCAUUGGGAAGAAAUAUGGUAAAUAAUCUAAAUGAUGUCCCGGGAGAAGCCUAGAGUGUGAAGUCUCAAUACCACUGUCUUCUGGAUAAAAGCAGAAACAUCUGGAAGGGUUUGCAUAGAUGACCUGGAGACGCGGAGAGCUGAGUGAGGAAGAAUUUGAAGUCCUUGUCCAUCUGAAGCCAUGAUUUAAAUACCAGCAUUACGAUUUGAACAAGAACAACUUCAGCGUCAUUGGAUUCCCACGUCAAAGAAAAGUUCCAAGCUUUCAGAAAGAGUUCUUGCUUGAAGACAAAGAACAGCUUGCCAACCACAAUAGAGGAAUCGACCCUCAGCUUUUAAGUGCCCUUCCUAAAGUUGCAGAAUUAAGAAAAAUCUUCGAACCAA
rnacentral:lncRNA from 1 species